GGCGACCGGCGCACGGGUGAGUAACACGUAUCCAACCUGCCCUUUACUCGGGGAUAGCCUUUCAAAAGAAAGAUUAAUACCCGAUGGCAUAAUGAUUCCGCAUGGUUUCAUUAUUAAAGGAUUCCGGUAAAGGAUGGGGAUGCGUUCCAUUAGGUUGUUGGUGAGGUAACGGCUCACCAAGCCUUCGAUGGAUAGGGGUUCUGAGAGGAAGGUCCCCCACAUUGGAACUGAGACACGGUCCAAACUCCUACGGGAGGCAGCAGUGAGGAAUAUUGGUCAAUGGGCGCUAGCCUGAACCAGCCAAGUAGCGUGAAGGAUGAAGGCUCUAUGGGUCGUAAACUUCUUUUAUAUAAGAAUAAAGUGCAGUAUGUAUACUGUUUUGUAUGUAUUAUAUGAAUAAGGAUCGGCUAACUCCGUGCCAGCAGCCGCGGUAAUACGGAGGAUCCGAGCGUUAUCCGGAUUUAUUGGGUUUAAAGGGAGCGUAGGUGGACUGGUAAGUCAGUUGUGAAAGUUUGCGGCUCAACCGUAAAAUUGCAGUUGAUACUGUCAGUCUUGAGUACAGUAGAGGUGGGCGGAAUUCGUGGUGUAGCGGUGAAAUGCUUAGAUAUCACGAAGAACUCCGAUUGCGAAGGCAGCUCACUGGACUGCAACUGACACUGAUGCUCGAAAGUGUGGGUAUCAAACAGGAUUAGAUACCCUGGUAGUCCACACAGUAAACGAUGAAUACUCGCUGUUUGCGAUAUACAGUAAGCGGCCAAGCGAAAGCAUUAAGUAUUCCACCUGGGGAGUACGCCGGCAACGGUGAAACUCAAAGGAAUUGACGGGGGCCCGCACAAGCGGAGGAACAUGUGGUUUAAUUCGAUGAUACGCGAGGAACCUUACCCGGGCUUAAAUUGCAGUGGAAUGAUGUGGAAACAUGUCAGUGAGCAAUCACCGCUGUGAAGGUGCUGCAUGGUUGUCGUCAGCUCGUGCCGUGAGGUGUCGGCUUAAGUGCCAUAACGAGCGCAACCCUUAUCUUUAGUUACUAACAGGUUAUGCUGAGGACUCUAGAGAGACUGCUGUCGUAAGAUGUGAGGAAGGUGGGGAUGACGUCAAAUCAGCACGGCCCUUACGUCCGGGGCUACACACGUGUUACAAUGGGGGGUACAGAAGGCAGCUAGCGGGUGACCGUAUGCUAAUCCCAAAAGCCUCUCUCAGUUCGGAUCGAAGUCUGCAACCCGACUUCGUGAAGCUGGAUUCGCUAGUAAUCGCGCAUCAGCCACGGCGCGGUGAAUACGUUCCCGGGCCUUGUACACACCGCCCGUCAAGCCAUGGGAGCCGGGGGUACCUGAAGUACGUAAACGCAAGGAUCGUCCUAGGGUAAAACUGGUGACUGGGGCUAAG
rnacentral:rRNA from 1 species